rnacentral:rRNA from 1 species
CAGCCGCCACGGUAAUACGUAGGUGGCAAGCGUUGUCCGGAAUUAUUGGGCGUAAAGGGCUCGCAGGCGGUUUCUUAAGUCUGAUGUGAAAGCCCCCGGCUCAACCGGGGGGGGUCAUUGGAAACUGGGAAACUUGAGUGCAGAAGAGGAGAGUGGAACUCCACGUGUAGCGGUGAAAUGCGUAGAGAUGUGGAGGAACACCAGUGGCGAAGGCGACUCUCUGGUCUGUAACUGACGCUGAGGAGCGAAAGCGUGGGGAGCGAACAGGAUUAGAUACCCCCGUAGUCCCUGUCUCUUAUAC